GCUAAAAGAGAGCNCUACAGGAAUCCCANAAGAUACCAUNCCCACAUUCAGUUCCGUAUCCAAGGGUCCAAGCAAUCUUUUAUGAGCCACAACAUCAAAGAAGACAAUGACAUCAUGAAUCAAAGAGAGAGCUUCAAGGUUCAUCUUAUGCCAUUGACACAACACAAGAUGAAAAAUUGUCCAACUUAAUCAAGACAAUACCUUUUGUCAGGUAGGCAACACAGAAAACCCACAAUCCAUAUAGGAUACACAUGCCCAUACAGACAAAUGAAGAGGUAAGCCAGGUGGAAGUUGUUGCACAAGCAUAGAGCCAACCACCCAUAACAAACCAAACACCACUCAUGCACCUUUACGAAUAGCAUUUNCAAAAGCCACCCCAACUAGAAGCCACCUGCCAUGCACAAACACAACAGCAANCAACCAAAAA
rnacentral:misc_RNA from 1 species